AUGGCCACAGAGGCUGACGUCACCUGCCCUGUGUGCCAGGGGACCCCAAAGGAGCCCAGCAUCAUCAGCCCCUGUCAACACCAGUUCUGCUUUGGCUGCAUUAUGCGCUGGGCCAAGAGAACCGUCAACUGCCCCCUCUGCAGGCAGGACAUCACCUCCAUCCGCUACUCCAUCUGGUCAGAAGAUGACUUUCUGGAGCUGCAGGUCACCCGCCGUGCAGAGACACAAGAAGACAGCCACCAGGACGAGCAGGGAGCUGCAGAGCCGGUGCUCCAGACUGCUGUGAGCAGCCUCCUGCCUGAGGAAUGGGCAGCCCUCUUCAGGGAACACCCCGAUCUCCUCGGUCCGCUGCGGCCCUGGGUGCGCCAGCAAGCCAGGGAGUUGUCUGGGGCUGCCUGGUGGGACCAGGAUGCGCUGGAAGCCAAUGUCAUUUCGUGGCUGUGCCGCUGUGGGCUGAAUGAACUGGCCUUGGUUCGGGAGCUGCAGCCAUUCCUGCAGGGCCAUACGGCGAGCUUUGUGCACCAGCUCAUUGAUGAAACUGUAGAGAUGUGCACUGAUGAGUUCCUCGAGGAGCUGGGGCUCCUGGAACCCCCUUCUGCCAUCCAGCACCAGAAUGGCCCUGAGGUGGACCUCGAGGGCUCGCAGGACAGCAGGGAGCCAGAAGACAGCCCUGUGGCCACCCCCAGACCUGCUGCCUCCUCCCAGGACACUCCUCUUACCAUCGUGCUCUCCUCCAGCAGCCAGGAGGCUUCUGACAUCGAGGAGCUCCCCAGCACCUCCAGUGCUGCCUUGCAUGGGGGUCCUGGCAACCCGCCCACCACACCUAUCCCCAGGGAGCAGGAAGAGCCCUUCACAGAGCUGGGACAGGAGGAAGCAGAAGAUGCUGUGGUGCAGGGCUGCAGCCACGGGCCCUCUCCUCCUGGCCAGGGCAGGGACAGCUCUCCUGGGGGGCCGCAGCGCCCUCCAAAGAGAAGGGCCGACAGCAGCCCAGAGUCUCCCCAGCCCUGCAAGAGGCCGCCCCCCCGGCGCCUUUAG
rnacentral:lncRNA from 1 species